AGGUGGGUCUUGUAAUAAUAAAGAAACUGCCUCGGCCCUCAUAGGACAGAAAAUUAGGUAGGCGGAGUAGACAGAAGAGAAUUCUGGGAAAAAGAAGCUGAGUGAGGAGUCGCCAUGAUGCUCCCGCUCCAGACAGACGCAGGUUAAGAUCCUCCCUGAUUUCCAACAUGGAGUCAAUGCCAGUGACUCUCCUGGGAUCUUCUGGCUGGAUUAGAACUGCCGAAGCAUCCAUAUCUGUGGGAUGAACAACACUGUUGUCUGUUUUCCCGAGUUUUCCAGCCCAGUAGAGUACUUCUGCCAUGUUCAAGUCAGACACCCGACUCCAGCUGUGAGUCAGCCCAGGAUUUGCCCCCUGAAAUCUUUUGACAAGCCACGUUUCUCCCCUCCAGUUGGAACCAUACAGCUGCUGCGAAGACUCGGGAUGGUGCUGAACAGUCAGUCAUGCAUUCAGCCUGUGAUCAACCCCCAAAGAACUCUUUGAAGCUCUAAGAAAGGCUCAGAGCAAUACCACAGGCCUGAGGAUCCUUACAGCAUUCUUAUUAUUUUGAC